rnacentral:rRNA from 1 species
GCUUGCACUCGGUUGAGAAAGAGUCUCAUCCGGUAGAGCGAAUGAUUAGAGGCAUUGGGGUCGAAACGACCUCAACCUAUUCUCAAACUCCAAAUAGAUGAGAUCCCCGGCUUUCUUAAAAGUGAAGCCGUGGGAAUAGGAUCAGAGUGCCAAGUGGGCCAAUUUUGGUAAGCAGAACUGGCGCUGUGG